UGGACUGAGAACACGGUCCAGACUCUACGGGAGGUCAGCAGUGGGGAUAUGCACAUGGCGCAGCUGAUGCAGCGACGCGCGUGAGGGAUGACGCUUCGGGUGUAAACCUCUUCAGUAGGGAGAAGCGAAGUGACGUACCUGCAGAAGAAGCACCGCUAACUACGUGCCAGCAGCCGCGGUAAUACGUAGGGUGCGAGCGUUAUCCGGAAUUAUUGGGCGUAAAGAGCUCGUAGGCGGUUUGUCGCGUCUGUCGUGAAAGUCCGGGGCUUAACCCCGGAUCUGCGGUGGGUACGGGCAGACUAGAGUGCAGUAGGGGAGACUGGAAUUCCUGGUGUAGCGGUGGAAUGCGCAGAUAUCAGGAGGAACACCGAUGGCGAAGGCAGGUCUCUGGGCUGUAACUGACGCUGAGGAGCGAAAGCAUGGGGAGCGAACAGGAUUAGAUACCCUGGUAGUCCAUGCCGUAAACGUUGGGCACUAGGUGUGGGGACCAUUCCACGGUUUCCGCGCCGCAGCUAACGCAUUAAGUGCCCCGCCUGGGGAGUACGGCCGCAAGGCUAAAACUCAAAGGAAUUGACGGGGGCCCGCACAAGCGGCGGAGCAUGCGGAUUAAUUCGAUGCAACGCGAAGAACCUUACCAAGGCUUGACAUGUUCUCGAUCGCCGUAGAGAUACGGUUUCCCCUUUGGGGCGGGUUCACAGGUGGUGCAUGGUUGUCGUCAGCUCGUGUCGUGAGAUGUUGGGUUAAGUCCCGCAACGAGCGCAACCCUCGUUCCAUGUUGCCAGCACGUAGUGGUGGGGACUCAUGGGAGACUGCCGGGGUCAACUCGGAGGAAGGUGAGGACGACGUCAAAUCAUCAUGCCCCUUAUGUCUUGGGCUUCACGCAUGCUACAAUGGCCGGUACAAUGGGUUGCGAUACUGUGAGGUGGAGCUAAUCCCAAAAAGCCGGUCUCAGUUCGGAUUGGGGUCUGCAACUCGACCCCAUGAAGUCGGAGUCGCUAGUAAUCGCAGAUCAGCAACGCUGCGGUGAAUACGUUCCCGGGCCUUGUACACACCGCCCGUCAAGUCACGAAAGUCGGUAACACCCGAAGCCGGUGGCCUAACCCUUGUGGGGGGAGCCGUCGAAGUGACAAUAGUUU
rnacentral:rRNA from 1 species